GUUCCUCACCACUUGGAUAUCCGUGGCAAUUCUAGAGCUAAUACAUGCACAAAGUCCCGACUUCUGGAAGGGAUGUAUUUAUUAGAUCCAAAACCAGCGCGAGUCCUCCGGGGCUCGGUUUGUUGGUGAUUCAUGAUAACUUCUCGAACCGUAUGGCCUUCGUGCCGACGGUGCUUCAUUCAAAUUUCUGCCCUAUCAACUUUCGAUGGUACGGUAGUGGCCUACCAUGGUUGCAACGGGUGACGGAGAAUUAGGGUUCGAUUCCGGAGAGGGAGCCUGAGAAACGGCUACCACUUCCAAGGAAGGCAGCAGGCGCGCAAAUUACCCAAUCCCGACUCGGGGAGGUAGUGACAAUAAAUAACAAUGCCGGGCUAUCGUAGUCUGGCAAUUGGAAUGAGUACAAUCUAAACCCCUUAACGAGGAAC
rnacentral:rRNA from 1 species